rnacentral:tRNA from 1 species
GGAGAGAUGACCGAGUGGUCGAAGGUGCACGACUGGAAAUCGUGUGUGGCGUUUGUAGCGUCACCGAGGGUUCGAAUCCCUCUCUCUCCGCCA